rnacentral:lncRNA from 1 species
CAAUGAGAAGAAAGGUUCAAGGUUGAUCCCGAUAGAUAUCUGUAGAGGUCGGACACAUGUGCAUCUCAAGAUCUUUCAGAUUCAAGAUCAUCAGUUGUGGUGUAUUUCAACCUACACAAGGUACUAAGAUCUGAUCUCAAUUUUAAUCUUUAAUUUUUAAAUUAUAUGUAUGUCUUAGAUCCAGGGCUCUGGUAGAUAUACAUUAGAUCUAUAGCAUGUGGAGUUAAAGGGUUUAAUCUAGAUCUAUUUUCACUGC